rnacentral:rRNA from 1 species
AAUGAACGCUGGCGGCGUGCCUAACACAUGCAAGUCGAGCGAGAAAGUCUCUUCGGAGAUAAGUACAGCGGCGGACGGGUGAGUAACGCGUGAGAAUUUACCCUUUAGUGAAGAAUACCUCUGAGAAAUCAGGGUUAAUACUGCAUACGUCCCUACGGGGAGAAAGGUGGCCUCUUUGCUGCCGCUAAAGGAUAAGCUUGCGUACUAUUAGCUAGUUGGUGAGGUAAAGGCUCACCAAGGCGAUGAUGGUUAGCCGGCCUGAGAGGGUGUACGGCCACACUGGAACUUAGACACGGUCCAGACUCCUACGGGAGGCAGCAGUGAGGAAUAUUGCGCAAUGGGCGAAAAGCCU